rnacentral:tRNA from 1 species
CUCCCUGUAGCUCAGUUGGUAGAGCAUGGUGUUUGCAAUGCCAGGGUUGUGGGUUCGAUUCCCACGGGGGGC